AAAUAUGAGAUGGGGCUGAAGUUAAAACAGAAGAAACGAACUAGUAGCUGAUAUGGAGAAAAGAUCCUUGAAACUGGAGGAUUUAUUGAUUUCCGCUAAAGACCAAUCUUCAGCACGUCAAAUACGGCUGACUAAGUUACAUAAAGGUUUCCAGGAAUUAAAGGAGUGUGGGGAAAGACUGAAAAGUUCUGAAGAGAAACACUAGAUUAACGAUGAUUCAGGUGGAAAAGAUAACAAUUAGAUCAAGACAUUGAAGCUCCGGUCUCAAUCAUAGGGGAUUUAGGAACAAUCAUUUUUUUAUGUUACAAGAACAAAUGUUACGUUAGUUGGAUAAUCCUAAGAAGUUAUUUUUAUUUCUAGUGUGAUUUAAUAGUUCAAAAAUUUGAUGUACGGAUCUAUAAUCUAUUGCUAUU